rnacentral:rRNA from 1 species
AUUGAACGCUGGCGGCAGGCCUAACACAUGCAAGUCGAGCGAGUGGCGGACGGGUGAGUAAUGUCUGGGGAUCUGCCAGAUAGAGGGGGAUAACUACUGGAAACGGUGGCUAAUAACGCAUAAUAUCAGAUGAACCCAUAUGGGAUUAGCUUGUUGGUGGGGUAACGGCUCACCAAGGCGACGAUCCCUAGCUGGUCUGAUAGGAUGAUCAUCCACCCGGGAAAUGAGACACGGACCAGACUCCUACGUGAGGCAGCAGUGGGGAAUAUUGCACAAUGGGCGCAAGCCUUAUGCAGCCAUGCCGCGUGUAUGAAGAAGGCCUUAGGGUUGUAAAGUACUUUCAGAGUGGAGGCGUUACCCGCAGAAGAAGCACCGGCUAACUCCGUGCCAGCAGCCGCGGUAAUUC